AGUGAACGCUGGCGGUAGGCCUAACACAUGCAAGUCGAACGGCAGCACAGUAAGAGCUUGCUCUUACGGGUGGCGAGUGGCGGACGGGUGAGGAAUACAUCGGAAUCUACUUUUUCGUGGGGGAUAACGUAGGGAAACUUACGCUAAUACCGCAUACGACCUACGGGUGAAAGCAGGGGAUCCUCGGACCUUGCGCGAUUGAAUGAGCCGAUGUCGGAUUAGCUAGUUGGCGGGGUAAAGGCCCACCAAGGCGACGAUCCGUAGCUGGUCUGAGAGGAUGAUCGGCCACACUGGAACUGAGACACGGUCCAGACUCCUACGGGAGGCAGCAGUGGGGAAUAUUGGACAAUGGGCGCAAGCCUGAUCCAGCCAUACCGCGUGGGUGAAGAAGGCCUUCGGGUUGUAAAGCCCUUUUGUUGGGAAAGAAAAGCAGCAGGUUAAUACCCCGCUGUUCUGACGGUACCCAGCGAGUAAGCACCGGCUAACUUCGUG
rnacentral:rRNA from 1 species